UACGAAGGGGGCUAGCGUUGCUCGGAAUCACUGGGCGUAAAGCGCACGUAGGCGGAUUGUUAAGUCAGGGGUGAAAUCCUGGAGCUCAACUCCAGAACUGCCUUUGAUACUGGCGACCUUGAGUCCGGGAGAGGUGAGUGGAACUGCGAGUGUAGAGGUGAAAUUCGUAGAUAUUCGCAAGAACACCAGUGGCGAAGGCGGCUCACUGGCCCGGUACUGACGCUGAGGUGCGAAAGCGUGGGGAGCAAACAGGGAUUAAGAA
rnacentral:rRNA from 1 species